GACGAACGCUGGCGGCGUGCUUAACACAUGCAAGUCGAACGAGUGGCGAACGCGGGUGUAAUACGUGGUAACCUGCCCUCCUUUUUGGGAUAAGCCUUGGAAACGGGGUCUAAUACCGGCUAUGAAGGGGGAUGGGCUGGCGCAAUCAGCUUGUGGGGGGGGAGAUGGCUUACCAAGGCGGUGACGGUUAGCCGGUCUGAGAGGGUGACCGGCCACAUUGGGACUGAGAUACGGUCCAGACUCCUACGGGAGGCAGCAGUGGUGAGUAUUGCACAAUGGGCGCAAGCCUGAGACAGCCAUGCCGCGUGUAUGAAGAAGGCCUUCGGGUUGUAAAGUACUUUCAGCGGGGAGGCGUUACCCGCAGAAGAAGCACCGGCUAACUCCGUGCCAGCAGCCGCGGUAAUAC
rnacentral:rRNA from 1 species